rnacentral:lncRNA from 7 species
UGGUUUGCUAGUGAGGCCAUGUGGGAUCUGAUGGUGAUACUCUGGAAGUCCUUUUUCUUAUCUGUGCCAGAGGACAGACUUGUUGCAUUCUGAGAAGCCAAGAGGACUAAGGUGCUGUAAGCAGAUGAAGACUCUCAGUUCCAAUGCACUAAAAGCAGAAUAUGCAGUGGUCUGCUUUCCUUGGAGACAAACCCCAUGGUUUGGAACUUCAGUUGCUAGAAAAUGCAGUCUCAAUACAUGUCGAGCACACUGUUCUGCUUCUUACCCAUGAAGAGCACAAUAGCUGGACUUAUCUAGUCCUUAACCAGGAGAACCCUGUGAAAAGCCACUAGAUAAAAUUUUAGAGUGCAGGAAUUUAAAACCAAUCCAAGAAACAACACUCUGUGACGUUCUAAAUAUCAGUGGUGUAUACGGGAGGUACUUGAAGAGCACUCAAUUAUGACAUAUCCAUGAACUGGCAGUGGAAAAAUCUGAUUCCAGCAGCAGAGAAGACUUGCAGCUGCAGCUAAUAGAGUGAGGGAUGUGAAUACAGAGAGCACUUACGUGAUGAAGGCAAGACCGGCAAUCAGUUGUAUGCUUCAGAGCAAUAAAGCACAAUCAGUCU